GACGAACGCUGGCGGCGUGCCUAAUACAUGCAAGUAGAACGCACAGUUUAUACCGUAGCUUGCUACACCAUAAACUGUGAGUUGCGAACGGGUGAGUAACGCGUAGGUAACCUGCCUGGUAGCGGGGGAUAACUAUUGGAAACGAUAGCUAAUACCGCAUAAUAUUAAUUAUUGCAUGAUAAUUGAUUGAAAGAUGCAAUUGCAUCACUACCAGAUGGACCUGCGUUGUAUUAGCUAGUAGGUGAGGUAACGGCUCACCUAGGCGACGAUACAUAGCCGACCUGAGAGGGUGAUCGGCCACCCUGGGACUGAGACACGGCCCAGACUCCUACGGGAGGCAGCAGUAGGGAAUCUUCGGCAAUGGACGAAAGUCUGACCGAGCAACGCCGCGUGAGUGAAGAAGGUUUUCGGAUCGUAAAGCUCUGUUGUAAGAGAAGAACGGGUGUGAGAGUGGAAAGUUCACACUGUGACGGUAUCUUACCAGAAAGGGACGGCUAACUACGUG
rnacentral:rRNA from 1 species